rnacentral:misc_RNA from 1 species
GCGGACCAGUCGAGGUCGAUCCGGAAGCCGAGAUCGCCAGGGGAGGGGCGGGGGGAGGGUGCGGCGGGAGGGGAGGAGGGCGGAUCGGGAUCGUUGUCAGGGGAAGGGGCACAUUCGCCGUAGUCGAGGGUGAGAUGAAUCACCUCAGAGGGGCGUUUCCACCCCAGACCCCAUGACAUGGCCUCGCCGGCGGGGGAUCAGAUGCGGCGGCGCUGUGGCGGCGGCGGGGCGGUGAUGGAGUUGAGGCUCCGGCAACGCUGUGCUGCGUCUG